GUUUCAUUCAAAUUUCCUGCCCUAUCAACUUUCCGACGGUAGGGUAGUGGCCUACCGUGGUGGUAACGGGUGACGGAGGAUUAGGGUUCGAUUCCGGAGAGGGAGCCUGAGAAACGGCUACCACAUCCAAGGAAGGCAGCAGGCGCGCAAAUUACCCAAAUCCCAACUCGGGGAGGUAGUGACAAGAAAUAACGAUGCUCCGGCCAUCGGUCGGGUAAUCGGAAUGAGAACAAUUUAAAUCCCUUAUCGAGGAUCAAUUGGAGGGCAAGUCUGGUGCCAGCAGCCGCGGUAAUUCCAGCUCCAAUAGCGUAUAUUUAAGUUGCUGCGGUUAAAAAGCUCGUAGUCGGAUUUCGGGUGGUGCCUACCGGUCCGCCUUUGGUGAGUACUGGUAGGCGCCACCUUUCUGCCGAGGACGGGUUCCUGGGCUUAACUGUCUGGGGCCCGGAGUCGGCGAUGUCACUUUGAGUAAAUUAGGGUGUUUAAAGCAGGCUUAUGCUCUGUAUACACUAGCAUGGGAUGACACGAUAGGACUUCGGUCUAUCUUGUCGGUCUGUAGAUCGGAGUAAUGAUUAAGAGGGACAGUCGGGGGCAUUCGUAUUUCGUAGUCAGAGGUGAAAUUCUUGGAUUUACGGAAGACGAACUUCUGCGAAAGCAUUUGCCAAGGAUGUUUUCAUUGAUCAAGAACGAAAGUCGGGGGCUCGAAGACGAUUAGAUACCGUCGUAGUCUCGACCAUAAACGAUGCCA
rnacentral:rRNA from 1 species